UACAGAGGUCUCAAGCGUUGUUCGGAUUCAUUGGGCGUAAAGGGCUCGUAGGCGGUUCGUCACGUCGGGAGUGAAAACUCGGGGCUUAACCCCCGAGCCUGCUUCCGAUACGGGCAGACUAGAGGUGGGCAGGGGAGAGCGGAACUCCUGGUGUAGCGGUGGAAUGCGCAGAUAUCAGGAAGAACACCGGUGGCGAAGGCGGCUCUCUGGGCCUUACCUGACGCUGAGGAGCGAAAGCGUGGGUAGCGAACAGG
rnacentral:rRNA from 1 species